UACGUAGGGGGCAAGCGUUGUCCGGAUUUAUUGGGCGUAAAGAGCUCGUAGGCGGUUCGGCAAGUCGGGUGUGAAACCCCCAGGCUCAACCUGGGGACGCCGACCCGAUACUGCUGUGACUUGAGUCCGGUAGGGGAGCGUGGGAAUUCCUGGUGUAGCGGUGAAAUGCGCAGAUAUCAGGAGGAACACCAGCGGCGAAG
rnacentral:rRNA from 1 species